UACGAAGGGGACUAGCGUUGUUCGGAAUCACUGGGCGUAAAGCGCACGUAGGCGGAUUUGUAAGUCAGGGGUGAAAUCCCGGGGCUCAACCUCGGAACUGCCUUUGAUACUGCGAAUCUUGAGUCCGAUAGAGGCGGGUGGAAUUCCUAGUGUAGAGGUGAAAUUCGUAGAUAUUAGGAAGAACACCGGUGGCGAAGGCGGCCCACUGGAUCGGUACUGACGCUGAGGUGCGAAAGCGUGGGGAGCAAACAGG
rnacentral:rRNA from 1 species